AGUGAACGCUGGCGGCGUGCCUAAUACAUGCAAGUCGAACGGAGUGGCGCACGGGUGAGUAAUGUAUAGCUAAUCUUCCCUACACUAGAGGACAACAGUUGGAAACGGCUGCUAAUACUCUAUAGUGUAGGAUGAGGCUAUAUUGUAUCAUCUAGUUGGUGAGGUAAUGGCUCACCAAGGCUAUGACGCAUAACUGGUCUGAGAGGAGGAGCAGUCACACGGGAACGGAGACACCAUCGAGGCUUCUACGGCAGGGAGCAGUAGGGAAUAUUGCUCAAUGGGGGAGACCCAGGAGCAGCUUCGCCGCGUGGAGGAUGACACUUUUCGGAGAGUACACUCCGUUUGUUAGGGAAGCGGUACCUAACGAAGAAGCACCGGCUAACUCCGUGCCAGCAGCCGCGGUAAUAC
rnacentral:rRNA from 1 species